rnacentral:pre_miRNA from 1 species
UCUUCAUUGCACGUACUCUCUCGUCGGUCAGAGUGACGAGAGGGUGUGUGAAAUGAAGAGA